GCGAAGGUGGCGGAAUUGGUAGACGCGCUANNCUAGCUUCAGGUGUUAGUGUCCUUACGGACGUGGGGGUUCAAGUCCCCCCCCUCGCACCA
rnacentral:tRNA from 1 species